rnacentral:rRNA from 1 species
UACAGAGGGUGCGAGCGUUGUUCGGAAUUAUUGGGCGUAAAGGGCGCGUAGGCGGCGCCACAAGUCACUUGUGAAAACUCUGGGCUCAACUCAGAGCCUGCAAGCGAAACUGUGGUGCUGGAGUAUGGGAGAGGUGCGUGGAAUUCCCAGUGUAGCGGUGAAAUGCGUAGAUAUUGGGAGGAACACCAGUGGCGAAGGCGGCUCGCUGGACCGGAACUGACGCUGAGGCGCGAAAGCGUGGGGAGCAAACAGG